ACUCAAAGGAAUUGACGGGGGCCCGCACAAGCGGCGGAGCAUGUUGCUUAAUUCGAUGCAACGCGAAGAACCUUACCUAGGCUUGACAUGCACCGAAAAGCCACAGAGAUGUGGUGUCCUUCGGGGCGGUGCACAGGUGGUGCAUGGUUGUCGUCAGCUCGUGUCGUGAGAUGUUGGGUUAAGUCCCGCAACGAGCGCAACCCUUGUCCUAUGUUGCCAGCGGGUAAUGCCGGGGACUCGUAGGAGACUGCCGGGGUCAACUCGGAGGAAGGUGGGGAUGACGUCAAAUCAUCAUGCCCCUUACGUCUAGGGCUGCAAACAUGCUACAAUGGCCGGUACAAAGGGCUGCUAUCCCGCGAGGGUGAGCGAAUCCCAAAAAGCCGGUCUCAGUUCGGAUUGGAGUCUGCAACUCGACUCCAUGAAGUCGGAGUCGCUAGUAAUCCCGGAUCAGCACUGCCGGGGUGAAUACGUUCCCGGGCCUUGUACACACCGCCCGU
rnacentral:rRNA from 1 species